ACGCUGGCGGCGUGCCUAAUACAUGCAAGUCGAACGGUCUUUCUAUGGAAGCUUGCUUCCACUGAGAAGAUAGUGGCGAACGGGUGAGUAACACGUGGGUAACCUGCCCAUAAGAGGGGGGAUAACAUCCGGAAACGGGUGCUAAUACCGCAUAGUUUUCUUGAUCGCAUGAUUGAGAAAGGAAAGAUGGCCUUUGUGCUGUCGCUUAUGGAUGGACCCGCGGCGUAUUAGUUAGUUGGUGAGGUAACGGCUCACCAAGACGAUGAUACGUAGCCGACCUGAGAGGGUGAUCGGCCACAUUGGGACUGAGACACGGCCCAAACUCCUACGGGAGGCAGCAGUAGGGAAUCUUCCGCAAUGGACGAAAGUCUGACGGAGCAACGCCGCGUGAGUGAAGAAAAGGUUUUCGGAUCGUAAAACUCUGUUGUCAGAGAAGAACAAGUUGGAGAGUAACUGCUCCAGCCUUGACGGUAUCUGACCAGAAAGCCACGGCUAACUACGUGCCAGCCGCGGC
rnacentral:rRNA from 1 species